AGAGUUUGAUCCUGGCUCAGAACGAGCGCUGGCGGCAGGCCUAAUACAUGCAAGUCGAGCGCAUCCCUCGGGAUGAGCGGCGGACGGGUGAGUAACGCGUGGGAAUAUGCCCUUCUCUAAGGAAUAGCCUCUGGAAACGGAGAGUAAUACCCUAUACGCCCUUCGGGGGAAAGAUUUAUCGGAGAAGGAUUAGCCCGCGUUAGAUUAGGUAGUUGGUGGGGUAAUGGCCUACCAAGCCUACGAUCUAUAGCUGGUUUGAGAGGAUGAUCAGCCACACUGGGACUGAGACACGGCCCAGACUCCUACGGGAGGCAGCAGUAGGGAAUCUUAGACAAUGGGGGAAACCCUGAUCUAGCCAUGCCGCGUGUGUGAUGAAGGCCUUAGGGUCGUAAAGCACUUUCGCCAGAGAUGAUAAUGACAGUAUCUGGUAAAGAAACCCCGGCUAACUCCGUGCCAGCAGCCGCGGUAAUACGGAGGGGGUUAGCGUUGUUCGGAAUUACUGGGCGUAAAGCGCACGUAGGCGGAUUAGUAAGUUAGAGGUGAAAUCCCAGGGCUCAACCCUGGAACUGCCUUUAAUACUGCUAGUCUUGAGUUCGAGAGAGGUAAGUGGAAUUCCGAGUGUAGAGGUGAAAUUCGUAGAUAUUCGGAGGAACACCAGUGGCGAAGGCGGCUUACUGGCUCGAUACUGACGCUGAGGUGCGAAAGUGUGGGGAGCAAACAGGAUUAGAUACCCUGGUAGUCCACACCGUAAACGAUGAAUGCCAGACGUCAGCAAGUAUA
rnacentral:rRNA from 1 species